AAUCCAACAUGGCUGCUCCGUGCAUCAACAGUAGUGACAGCUGUAGUAACAUACAGUACAUUUUAUUUGCACUUCUGUCUUAUUUGUGUUUCAUUAAACCAGCCGUACACACAGGCCUGUUCAACGUUUAUCUGUGGACAUGUUGCUACGCAGUUUGUAUGCACAAAAAAACAGCGUAAUGCAUUGUUAUCAACUGGUAUUGCUCACAAUGGCUAACCUGGCUAGAGCUAACCCCACUGUUUGAAAUCUGACUUGUUUUAAUGGAAUGGGGUCAACUCGGGUGUGACGUUAACUCACAGCUCCGAGUUCAGAGGUAAAUGGAACGCACAACUAGCUACAAACGCACAUACUUGAUAGUAGAUACAUGUAUUGUUGGUUUGGUUCUGCACAUAAGAUUUGGUGACAAUCAGAAAAAUGUAGAAUACAACUUUUUAAAGUGAAAUUCUGUGUUUAUACGAUCCGUUUUUUUUAAAAACCUGUUGGUUAUGUGUGUGGUAACAUGUAACGAGGAAAAUAGCACACAGCGUGCAGGUGAAAAGCAAACUGAAUGUGGGUUCCUCCACUGAAGUGUGUUCUUACCAAUAUAACGGGUGUGUCACACAGGAGCCAUGUUAACAUAUUUCCAGUCAUGACAGCAAAAGUUGUGUUCAUAUAGUUAUUCUCUUUAAGUGUUUUUUUUGUUUUUUUUUGUAGGCUUAGUUUGUGUAAAGGAUCAUUUUCAUUAAUUAGGUCUUAUUUUUGUCAUUUUGCCCAUCGUUCCUACCAGUUACGUUAUCAUAACCAAUAGGAUUGAGGGCCAUGACUAUCACAGACGACAGAGGUUGUAACGAAACAGAAUUGUCCUUUUGUUUUCUGGCUCCACUCUCUAAAUGUUCUAAUAAUCCUGAGGUGUUGUCGUAAACACCCCUCUCAGUAUAUUAUUACAAUAAUUUGAACUACACUUGAUGUUUUAAAAUAUUUGUUUUUAAUUUUCUCAUAAAGGCAGAGUUGUACUGUUUGGAAGUUAUUCCUAUAUCUGUGAUUGGCCCAUCUUUCAGUGGGCCCAGUGGGGAUGGACUGCAUUGUGGAUUGUGAAUAUUGAACCAAAGACAUUUUGAGAUUUGCAUCACGGCCUUGUUUACAUAUUAGCCAUGCAUAUGUACCACAAGUGGACUGAUGUACCAGACGAGAUGGAAAUGUCAAGUCUGUCUUAUGCAAUUUAACACAGUGCAACUGAGAGUCACACGCCAUGUAGUUUUCCUCCCAGACAGCAGGAAGCAGCCACUGAGAUGGGGCGGGGGGCGGGGGUGUAAGAGUUCAGCAGUGAGUUUGGAACUUGACAUUGUUCUGCUGGUACUACUGACUGGUACUACUGUUGGGACUGAAAUUCCAAGGCAACUAGAAUAAAUGGAAUUUUAGACAAUGGUACAUGCUUUUAUAAUGUUUAAUCAUUUUGAAUGUGUGGUUAUUACUGAUGUUGGUGAUCUAAAUUUGAUCUCUGUUUGAAAUGGCAUCUUAGGCAAGAUGAGCAGCCUCUGCUAGAGUGAUGGAGGUCAGUAAAGGUAAAGAGCAGGAUCACAUAUGAAUGCUCUGCCUGCAUGUGGUGCUUUGUUCAACUUGGUUAAGCCCAGGUCAGACCAAAGAUUCGUGACAAGACGAAACCGUUUUAGAACGUCGCAGGGAAAAGUUGCUGUGGUCUGAACCGGCCCCGUCUCAGCUGGACUCAAACCAGCUGAUGGCGUCACUGCGACUCAGCUGGUGAAGUCUCCAGAGGCUGGUUUUAGAACAAAAGGGACGUCCCCUGUUUCAACAGCCAAUAGAGAAGUCGGCUGGUCAAGUCAGCUACAAACUCUAGAAAUAAAAUGAUCCAUAAUCUGUUUUAUUUCUAUGUUACAAACUGCCAUCUGGUCGAAACGGCAGAGUUUUAGACGGAGGCUCAACAAGCGCACACGAGCGAGCUAGAGAGUGACUGAAGAGAGGGAGCGGCGAUAGAACAAAUCAUGAAUUGCAUAAAUAAAACGUUUUUGCCUAUUCAGCACUAGAAAUGCAGCUGUAGCAAGCACUACUUAGUAUCAUUCACAUUCAUGUUUAGACACAACAAAAAGCCUGGAAGUCGGAAAUUAGAACAAAAGUACAAAGAGUUGUUCCAUUGGAGAUGAUACACCGUCUCGUCGCAUUGGUGUGAACUGGAAGGUCUUUGGUCUGGACUGGGCUUUAAAAUGUCAUUUAAUUUAAGCAAAGUGCAGUUUUGAGAGUAUUCUUUAGCACCAUGGUCACAGUGGGUCCAUACCUCAGGUUUCAGGUCAGGGAUUGCAGUCUAGCAACGCGCUGUAUAAACAUGGUUUUCUUGAUGAAGUGGAAAGAUGUUUUUUUUUUUUCUAUCUCAACUUGCCUUCAUUUGACAUAGUCCAGAUCGACUUGGAAAUCAGACAAAUCAUUUAGUGUCGGUCGAGCAAAUGCACAAACCUCUUAUGGCUAUGCUCACACAUAGGGUUGGGGUUUGAUAGCAUUUUAUUGAAUCUGAAUCCAGAAUUGACUCCACUCUUUGAAUCCAAAUAUUUUUCGUAUACAUCAGCUUUCAAGAUUUGUAACCAAAUUUAAAAAAAAUAAUCCAAACUUUAACUUUAAAUGACAAGUGUAAUCUACUUACUUUGCUUUUGGGGAGGGGAAAGUCCAAAUAUUCUGGAACUAGAUCCAAAACAGGCACAGUAAUCAGAACCCAACUCUACUCACACCAAUAAUACAGAGUGCAGGGUUUCCUCCAGAAAAGCCCGGUGGCAAGUGUCUUUUUUUUCAAUAAGGGCCCUGCUGGGGACUAGACACAGACUGAAGGCAGCAUUAAUGUAGAGCCCAAUAGUUUCUGUGAUGACAGAAUCAUAGAUGGAAUCAGGAAAUUGAGAAUUUCAAAAAGCUAUAAGACAGAUUCCAUAUGGCCCUACAUUAAGUCAGCGCUAAAAGCCAACUGGAGAUGUCAAAAUAUGACUGUUUCCAACCGAGCCGUCCCACUGUAUGCAGUUAAAAAAA